UAUAAAAUAUUAAAUAUUUACAAUUAUUUUCAUAAAGUUCCAACAUUUACAUUUUGUCUGAUAAAAAUAACUUACAUAUUGAAAUAAAGGAUUUUAAUUUAAAAAGUUAAAUCCCACAGGCAUAAUGCUGAGUACCGUUCUCUACGAUAGGAAAAAGGCAACCUCCAAAACAAUGCCAUCAGUACAUAAUUUUAAUAUAUAUAAAAAUAACUGCAACAAUUGAGCCAACCAUAUCUAAAACCAUUUGAAUUGUCUUAUAAAACGGGGUAAUACUGAUUAGUUCUAUUAAUAGCUUGAAAAUAUAACGUAGAAAGAAACUUUUAAUAGUUAAGACGAAACUGAGUGAAAGGUACAGGCAUCGGAUGUCAGAAAUUGCAGUGCCCAUUCAUAGUGGACGUGUACCUCUCUGCUACCACAAGUCUCUGCAAACGCAUUCUCAAUUCUUCCAUGCCAACCAUGUUUGAAGAUUCAAACGGGAGGGGCCACUGUUUCUUACUUUAUUUAAUCAGUUAAGCUCCGCCACAUCACGUUCAACCAACCAGAUGUACGCAACCAACAUGCCGGGUGGAGCAACAUUUUACCAGAAAUACAGCCAAUGACAGUGAUUAGUACAGACCCACUUAUUGUUCUGUUUAGGGGUUCUCUCAAUACACAAUAUAUAUUCAAAUCUAUAAAACUAAAUUCAAUAUUAAAAAGGGCUGAGAAUAAUCAGGCAUCAGUACACGACAGAAAAACUAAAGAUGAAAUUCGAAAUAAGUAAAUCUGGCUUAUAUUUCGAAACAUAUUCAUUAAUCUGACGCACAAAAUGGUUAAUUUUUUUUAUGAAGUACCGAUGUCUGAGAAGCAAAGUACAAGAAUCUACAAAGUAAGCAUCAUCCAAGAUUCGAUAAAGCAAGCGCCACCCAAAGGGGUGAGGAUAGAGUAGAAAGCAACGAAUUAAAUUAGUAAGAAUAUAUAAAAGCAACUAAGCAUCAAACAAAUUCCACAAAUGUGAAAUUAUGCAGGCUACAGCAUAAUUAGAAAGCAAAGGUUGUAGAACAGAAGAAUCAAAAUAGUUGGGUAUAGAAAGCACAGAAUGGAUGCAUAAUCCAUGUCCAAAAAUUAUCAGACUGCUACCGUAAAUUGAGAGAUGUGAUCCUUAUAUAUUUAGAAUAGCAUAGUAUUCGGUGCAAAUGCAAGUUAAGCCAGCCCACACGUUUAAUUCAUCACCAUUGUCAAGGCAAACGCUUUAUGGCACUCUUAUCAUCUCCUUAUAUUUCACAAUUCAUUGUUUGCCAAACCAUAUAUUAAAAGGAUUUAGGUACAAAGAAUAGCAAAACUCAUAGUGAAGCAACGAUGUUCAUCGAUCUAAAGCUCCGUUGUUGUUAUAUACAAAAUGUCUGGCUAAAGUAAAGAGUGGAAAACAGUAUGUUCCUCAUCCACUCUCUACAUUAGCAAUCAGUAAUCUCAUGCCAUUACACAGAAGAUGAUGCUAAGGCCUUCGUCAUCAACUACCAAAACAAACUAAAUCCUAUCAGAUUACAAAUAACAGUAUCAAUUCAUUGGAGUUCGCAAUUUCACACCUAUCUUUCACAAACCAGACCUACAGUGGAUUCUUUACCACAAUCGUAAACUCAUACAGGCUGGUCUGACAGACUUGUACUCAAAGCAAGACUGGAAAGACGAUACGCACAAUAUUAAAGGACUAAUCGAAAAACAGAUUAAAAUUAAGUAGAUUUCUUAGCAACCCAUGACAAUAAAUUCAUGAACCAUACGCCUGAUACAACUACACAAAGUCUAAUAACUCCAUUAAAGUACUCAGAAAUGAGAAAUACAAAACAACAGAUGCAUCCAAAUCGUACUUAAGUAAAUAUAGAAAUAGACAUUAUUGAGAAUUAUUAACUGACAGGCUGUAUUAAGAAAAAGCAAUACGUGAUUUUAAUAAAUGCUAAAAUAUUAAAUGCAUUAUCAUAAAAUAUUAAAAUUAAAAAGUGCAGCUACAUUAACAGUGUAAAACAUACAAAACGUAGUAAUUUAAAAAAAAAUAAAAAAGUAAAUCUACAUCAACACGAAUUAUCAAAUAAUUUAACUAAAGAAUACAGAAUAUUUAAAGCUUAAUCAUACCAAUAAUGAUAAAAUUGGAGUCAAUAAAAUACCAUAAAUUUCAGGUAUAAUCAAUACUAAUGUUGGAAAAAAAUGAAAAUGUCACUCGGCAUACAUCCUGAGUGGCUACAAUGGGGAAAAAUAUCUGAGGUCACCUAUGGCCACAAAAUACCUACCAAGCUCAAAGAUAAGGUUUUCCGUACUGCCAUAAAACCAGAUAAAUCUAUAUGGUAAUUGAUUUUAAUCUUUAAAGGUCCCGCAAUUAAAAUGGUACUAUAAAAAAUAAGCAUGCUAAGAUAAGUUGUGCGACAAUAAAAUUACUAUAUGCGAGGAGAUAUUGUUUCAGCUCCUAUUGAGGAAAAGAUAUAAGAAAAUUAAAGGCUGUUAGCCACGUACAGAUGCCAGAGGGAGGUGACAAAAUAUUAGAUGGCAAGUUUUCCAGCAAUGUAAAAAUGGAGGUAAAAGGGGAACAAGAAGGAUACUAACAUCAAUAAAAAUAUGGCUUUUAACCAAGUCCAAUAAUGCCAUCAGAUCGGUCAAAAUGACUUUACCUGGUGGGAUAAGAAUUUAAUAUCUAUGAUCGAUUUAAAAUAUUCAUAUACUGUUCUGAAAAUGUCUAUAUAAGAAUAUAAGAAAUUAAUAAACUUGCAGCUUACAUUUCACAAGCUGAUAAAUUUGAGAAACCAAGAUGGAAAUAUUGAGAGGGGAAGUAAAUCCCUAAAUUUACUUAAGGCCAAAUUUUGGAAAAGAUAAUAAUUUAACCAGCACUUAAGGUAAACAUUAGUGUAUCCCAAAUAACACCUAAUCUCGUGAGUCAUAACUUGUUAAAAAAAAUAAAUUAAACCUAAUUAGUUUACCAAACAAGCGAUAUUGUACAAGUCGUUUGACAAAAUGAAAUACACAUUCUUCAGAGAACAUCACCAAUUCCCAUUGUCAGAAUUCUUUUCGCAUAGGCACAUGACUAUCCCAAGCAUAGUGUUAGAGAGAGUAAACAAGUCAACGUCACAAAUUACCAGAACAUAUUUAGAAAAUGUUUGGAAUCCGCAGUGUAAAAACGAAAUCCUAUAAGUUAAAAUGCUUAUUGGAUGAGAAAAUUGAUUUACCACUACAAGUUGUAGACGCUAAUAUAAUUACAACAUGACUUUAAUAAUUAUUGGAUGAGAAAAUUGAUUUACCACUACAACUUGUAGACGCCAAUAUAGUUAGAACAUGACUUGCAUUUUACAAUGAUAGUUAUUACGCAUCAAAUAUACAGUAUAAACACACUGUUAGAAAAUAAUUAUACUCUUACAGACACCAUUACACUUACAACCUGACCAACACUGUACAAAGUAAAUUAUUAGAAUAUCAUCAUCAAAUCAGAAUAACUGAAACAUUGCAUUAGAAAAUAUUGAGAAACAUAAAUGAAACGAAACAACCACAGCAUUGAGCAACUUUUGUUAAAACUAACCACAAGAAAAUGUGACUAAGUACAAACUCAGCUAUUAAAUCCAGAUCCAUAUGAUUAAAACAGGCUGUAACAGCCCAGAUAAUCAUUCUAAAAGUACAAAACUAGUCUACCUCAACAGGGAUUUUAACUAAUAACAUUCAUAUGAAUCAAGGCUUAAAAGGGCAGCAGAUGAAGUCAAGAGGCUGUAAAAGUACAGGCUAAUACAUUCAUUACACCAGAGUACAUAGUCUGCAAUUCACGCAAUCACCAGAGGCACAAAGCAUCUGCACCCAAUAAGCGAUGAUACACCUGAAUCAAACAUCCAUUCAACUCAAUUCAUCAUUUCACAACCAUCAUCCAAAGUACAUUAUUAUAUUGUAAAAACAAGACAGGAAAAACAAACAAAUCAUUGCUCACCCAUUGUUAGGAACCACAUGAACAAACAGCCCAUAUCAGGGCACCAUAUAUAUGUAACCAACAACAUAGUUUGAAAGAUCAUUUAACAGACACAGCCACCAUGAAAUUAUGUAUAAAAGUGAAAACACAAAUACAAAACAUAUGCAACAAGAUAAAAUUAAUCGGGAAGCAGAGGAAGACAAACAAAAGAAUAGACAAAAAAACUACAAACAAGAUGAGUGCUAGCAAAACGACCAAACUUCUAUAACAGGACACGGAUGAAUGUUAUUUAGAACAUUAAGAAAAAAAUCAGUACCUGAUAAACUUUCAAUAACAUAGUCAUAAAGACAUCAUAAAACAUUAUAAAAAGUAUAUUUAAUCACAAGCUCACUAUAAUCAAUAGAGGAUUUAAUAAGCUACUAUUGCAUAAGAGAAUCACAGAAUUCAUUGUUCGGAUCCCAAAAUCACAAAUCUGACACAUGAUCCCAAACAACGCGCAAGUCAUUAAGUAUUUUUCAGUCUAACAUUUAUAUAUAAUAGACAAUAAAAAAUAAAACAAGGCAAAAAACCAACAGUAAUCGAAACAUACACAUACACACAGAACGGAAUCACACAAACAACCAAGCAGUCCACACAGAUAUAUAACGGAAAAGAAAACAUAUGAACUAAUUGCACUUCCACCACACAACCUUCAAAGAAUUUCAGAAACAAGAACAACCAAUAUUACCUCUUUAGUAGUAAGGAGGCACACUGGGGUACAUCGAACCAGGUGGAACUCUAGGCACUGGAGAAGCACCAGAAGGAGGAUGAUGCUGGUUCUGGUAUCCAGCCGAACCUGAUAAACCAUAAUGACCACCCUCCGGAUACCCUCCACCACCUGCAGGCAUGCCACCAGAACCAGGCAAUCUAUACAAAGAACCCGCACCACCACUUGCUCCUCCAAGCCCACCACCAACACCAGCACCUCCACCAGCCCCUCCUAACCCACCUGCAGCACCAAAUCCCGCAGAACCCGGCCCACCGUAUCCACCAUAAGGCCCACCCAUCCCAGC
rnacentral:lncRNA from 1 species